UAAUCUUUCCCUUCACCUUAGCUAUCAAAUCUCAUAUGCACUUCCACAUAUUUAAACUUUGCACAAAACAUUCAGUUACAUGUGAAAACGUUUGGUUGCGAUUGUGCUGAACCAAUGCAAUUUGAAAAAAUUAUACAAGAAGGGAAGAUUAUCAGUUAAUUACGACUUAAAUUUUGGCCUGUUCCUCUCCUAUGGUAUGGUAUGGCUUCAGAAGAUUUGCAAUAUAGAGCACAAAUCAUGUAACUACGUUCUUGGUAUUCUUUUUUGCCCUUUUUGGACCUUGACAGAGCCAGGUCAGUUUGUAAUGUAUGGAAAAAAAAAAUACAUUCCACAGUACAGAAGAGUCAUGUGAGUUAGAAAUUACAUGGGGAGUAAAAACUGACAGAAUUUUCAUUUUUGGAUGAACAAUUCCAUUAUGGAAAUAUCUAAUGUAAAGCCUUAUCCCUGUUUCCCAGUUGUGCUUUUUUCAUGUUUAACCAUGAAGCAUACAGAGAGUUAACGAGCAGACGCACACAGCAUGGGUGUAAAGAGUCAUUCCUCGUCAGGCAGGUUGUUUAACCUGGUCAGUUUCCCAAUGGGAUUUAAUAUCCUUGGAAAAUAUGUGUAGAAAAGAGGGUCUGGAGGUGACUGAUGGCCCUCUACAGGAAUCAUGGAUGCUCUGUUUGCUCAAACUGAGGAGGUAAAUAAAGGUGAUGAAUGUUUGGUGCAGUGUUUAAAUUUUUUAUAUGGAAGUGAGUGCAGCUUUUAGCAGAAGACUAAAGGAACCCAAAAUGGGGAUAUGUUCUCUUAUUGCUGCUCAUGCAAACUAUGUUUACUACAAAUCCUGAAAUGUGCAUGCACUUUUUAUGUAUUGUAUGUUGAAACCGAAUCAAGAUUGUACUCCCAACAUUUCAUGGAAUCACUUUCACUAAUCACUAGUCUUAAAAGGUAUGUUUUUGCUUUUUAUUGUUUAGUGUCCAAAAUCAGAUUAUGUCCAUUUGCAUUGAUGCACAUGGAGGUUGUAAAAAGGUACAGACAUGAUAGGAAUAAUAUGUAUUUAUAUUUUAUUUAUUUAUGUAUAAACCAGACCAUAUGGCACCAACAAACAUACAUGGUCCAAAUCAAUGAGAUAAAAUUUUUUCACCAUUCUGAUGGUUGAUGUGAACAUUAACUGAAACUCCUGACCCAUAUCUGCCUGAUUUUAUGCACUGCAGCCAGGAUUGGCUGAUUAGAUCAUCGCAUGGAUGAUUUUUGGUGCCAGACGGGCUGGUUUGAAUAUUUCUGUAACUGCUGAUCUCCUGGGAUUUUCAUACACUGCAGUCUUAUAUUUACUCAGAAUGGUACAAAAAACAUCCAGUGAGCAGCAGAUCAGUGGACAGAAACGCCUUGUUGAUGAGAGAGGUCAACAGAGAAUGGCCAGACUGGUUCGAACUGACAAAGUCUAUGGCAGUCGCAAAUUCGCAGGGCCAGCAAAGCCCUGCUGGUCUUACAUGCCAAAUAAAUAGAUGCAUGAUGCACCAUUCAGUUAUUUUAGUUUCUGAAAACCCCUGGUACCACAGUGCACAUCAUGUUGCACUUUAUACCACUGCAGUUUAUGCCCUUCCCUGAAGCCAACCACCAAGAAAAAAAUAAACCUACACUGGGAAGGGCAUUUAAAAAAAGCAGUUGUUUUCCAAGGCAAAAGAAUAUGUUGUUGCCAUUUGCCCUGUAGAACUGAGGCUCAUUACCAUUGUCCCAAUUGCAGCAAAACUGUUCUGAGGAGAU